rnacentral:tRNA from 1 species
GCUUUUUCUGUAGUGUAGUGGUUAUCUCAUCGCUUUAACGCGCGAAUCGUCCCUGGUUCGAACCGGGCAGAAGCA